rnacentral:rRNA from 1 species
ACGGAGGGUGCAAGCGUUGUUCGGAAUCACUGGGCGUAAAGGGCGCGUAGGCGGUUUGUCAAGUCAGAUGUGAAAGCCCACGGCUUAACCGUGGCAGGGCAUUUGAAACUGUCAGACUUGAGUAUCAGAGGGGAAAGUGGAAUUCCCGGUGUAGAGGUGAAAUUCGUAGAUAUCGGGAGGAAUACCGGUGGCGAAGGCGGCUUUCUGGCUGAUGACUGACGCUGAGGCGCGAAAGCGGGGGGAGCGAACAG